GGGUUAGGUAAAUGUUCCAUGAUAAUGGAUUAGGUAAAUAUUCCAUGAUAAUGGGUUAGGUAAAUGUUUCAUGAUAAUGGUUUAGGUAAAUGUUUCAUGAUAAGAAAUUCAUGUCUUUUGUAUUAAAGAAUUAAAUGGAUGAAAUAUGAAGUUUUAUUAAAAGAAAAAGGGGUGAAAAGAACAAAGUUUUGUCCAUCUUUGUUCAUCAUAGCUGAAAGUUAGAGAAGAGAAAGAAGAGGAGAAAGCUCUUGAGUAUUUGGUCAUUAGGAGGAGGAAAAUUGAAGGAAAUCCCCAACCAUAGUGGGCUUGGAGCUGUGAGGGAAUUCGGAGUGGCCACCCGUUCUGAAAGUUUGAUUUUCUUCUGGUGAACUGGACAUCCUUUUAAUUACGUUUGAGGUUUUGGGCUUUUAAAUGUAAUAAGGCCGCUUAUUUAUUUUUGAUGGUUUUUAUAUGUUUUAUUAAGAUAGAUAAUAUUUAUUUUAACUGUUGAAAUUGGAUAGCUUUAGGGCGCGUUUUCAAAAACAA